rnacentral:rRNA from 1 species
AGAUUGAACGCUGGCGGCAUGCCUUACACAUGCAAGUCGAACGGUAGAGUAGCAAUACUUGAGAGUGGCGAACGGGUGAGUAAUAUAUCGGAACGUGCCCAGUCGUGGGGGAUAACGUAGAGAAAUUUACGCUAAUACCGCAUACGAUCUAAGGAUGAAAGCGGGGGACCGUAAGGCCUCGCGCGAUUGGAGCGGCUGAUAUCAGAUUAGGUUGCUGGUGAGGUAAAGGCUCACCAAGGCCGCGAUCUGUAGCUGGUUUGAGAGGACGACCAGCCACACUGGGACUGAGGCACGGCCCAGACUCCUACGGGAGGCAGCAGUGGGGAAUUUUGGACAAUGGGGGAAACCCUGAUCCAGCCAUCCCGCGUGUGCGAUGAAGGCCUUCGGGUGUAAAGCACUUUUGGCAGGAAGAACGGCGCCAACUAAUACUUGGCGUCACUGACGUACCUGCAGAAUAAGCACCGGCUAACUACGUAGCCAGCACGCCGA